AUACGUAGGGUGCGAGCGUUGUCCGGAAUUACUGGGCGUAAAGAGCUCGUAGGUGGUUUGUCGCGUCGUCUGUGAAAUUCCGGGGCUUAACUCCGGGCGUGCAGGCGAUACGGGCAUAACUUGAGUACUGUAGGGGAGACUGGAAUUCCUGGUGUAGCGGUGAAAUGCGCAGAUAUCAGGAGGAACACCGGGGGUGAAGGCGGGUCCCUGGGCAGUAACUGGCGCUGAGGGUCGAAAGCAUGGGUAGCGAACAGGAUUAGAUACCCUGGUAGUCCAUGCCGUAAACGGUGGGCGCUAGGUGUAGGGGUCUUCCACGACUUCUGUGCCGUAGCUAACGCAUUAAGCGCCCCGCCUGGGGAGUACGGCCGCAAGGCUAAAACUUAAAGGAAUUGACGGGG
rnacentral:rRNA from 1 species